UACGUAGGCAGCAAGCGUUUGUUCGGAAUUACUGGGCGUAAAGAGUGUGUAGGCGGUGCUCUAAGUUCGGUGUGAAAUCUCCCGGCUCAACUGGGAGGGUGCGCCGAAAACUGGAGUGCUGGAGCGCGGGAGAGGAAAGCGGAAUUCCUGGUGUAGCGGUGAAAUGCGCAGAUAUCAGGAGGAACACCGAUGGCGAAGGCAGCUCGCUGGGACGGUACUGACGCUGAGGCGCGAAAGCGUGGGGAGCAAACAGG
rnacentral:rRNA from 1 species